UUAAAUUGAAGAGUUUGAUCAUGGCUCAGAUUGAACGCUGGCGGCAGGCUUAACACAUGCAAGUCGAACGGUAGCAGGAAGGAAGCUUGCUUUCUUUGCUGACGAGUGGCGGACGGGUGAGUAAUGCUUGGGGAUCUGGCUUAUGGAGGGGGAUAACGACGGGAAACUGUCGCUAAUACCGCGUAAUGUCUAAGGACUAGAGGGUGGGACUUUCGGGCCACCUGCCAUAAGAUGAGCCCAAGUGGGAUUAGGUAGUUGGUGGGGUAAAGGCCUACCAAGCCGACGAUCUCUAGCUGGUCUGAGAGGAUGACCAGCCACACUGGAACUGAGACACGGUCCAGACUCCUAC
rnacentral:rRNA from 1 species